GUGGAGGCUGGUCCCUGGUCCUGGUAGUGCCAAAGUGCUCAUAGUGCAGGUAGUUUUUUGCAAAUGACUACUGUACUAUGGGCACUUCAGCGCUCCUGGGUAAUGUAUCACUGGGGGGUGG
rnacentral:pre_miRNA from 12 species